CGAAGGGGGCUAGCGUUGUUCGGAAUUACUGGGCGUAAAGCGCGCGCAGGCGGUUUUCAAGUCAGUGGUGAAAGCCCGGAGCUCAACUCCGGAACUGCCAUUGAAACUGUGAAACUUGAGGAUGAGAGAGGUGAGUGGAAUUCCCAGUGUAGAGGUGAAAUUCGUAGAUAUUGGGAAGAACACCGGUGGCGAAGGCGGCUCACUGGCUCAUUUCUGACGCUCAGGCGCGACAGCGUGGGGAUCAAACAGGAUUAGAUACCCUGGUAGUCCACGCCGUAAACGAUGAAUGCUAGCCGUUGGGCAGCUUGCUGUUCAGUGGCGCAGCUAACGCAUUAAGCAUUCCGCCUGGGGAGUACGGCCGCAAGGUUG
rnacentral:rRNA from 1 species